AUUGAACGCUGGCGGCAUGCCUUACACAUGCAAGUCGAACGGUAACAGGUCUUCGGAUGCUGACGAGUGGCGAACGGGUGAGUAAUACAUCGGAACGUGCCUAGUAGUGGGGGAUAACUACUCGAAAGUGUGGCUAAUACCGCAUGAGAUCUACGGAUGAAAGCAGGGGAUCGCAAGACCUUGUGCUACUAGAGCGGCCGAUGGCAGAUUAGGUAGUUGGUGGGAUAAAAGCUUACCAAGCCGACGAUCUGUAGCUGGUCUGAGAGGACGAUCAGCCACACUGGGACUGAGAAACGGCCCAGACUCCUACGGGAGGCAGCAGUGGGGAAUUUUGGACAAUGGGCGCAAGCCUGAUCCAGCAAUGCCGCGUGCAGGAUGAAGGCCUUCGGGUUGUAAACUGCUUUUGUACGGAACGAAAAGCCCCGGGUUAAUACCCUGGGGUCAUGACGGUACCGUAAGAAUAAGCACCGGCUAACUACGUGCCAGCCGCCGCCGUAAUAC
rnacentral:rRNA from 1 species